AAAAACUACUGAAAGCCUGAAGAUCUUAGUACGGUGCAAUGUGGAAAUUUAAAGUCACAUCACUCAUCAUCUAUUUAUCUGCUGGUACAUAUAACAGUAUGAAUAUCAUAGACAUGUAAGGAGAUAUAAACAUAUUAAUGCUCUGUUUUCUCUCAUUAGAUCCAGUCUUUGGGGAUAAAGUUGCACAGCCUGCUUCAGAUGCUGGAAAAGAAAAAGCACAAAAGACACUCAGUUGUAGCUAUGCAUCAUCCUACUAUUGUUGUUAUUGGUACAGAAAAUAUCCUUCCUCUGCUUUGCAAUAUCUUGUUUAUUCCUGUUCAAGCUUUACUAAUGAGAUAAAUGGGAGAUUCACUGCAUAUUACAGUUCCUCCAGUAGCACAUUAACUAUCUCCAGUCUAGAAUUGAACGAUGCAGCUGUUUAUUAC